rnacentral:lncRNA from 1 species
UUUCUUCUAAGAGUUUAGGAGUUUUAGCUCUACACUUAGGUCUUUAAUCCAUUUUGAGUUAAUGUCUGUAUAUGGAAUAAGAUGAGGGCUUGACUUCAUUCUCUGGCAUGCAGAAUAUAAAAUCUCAUUUAUUCAAAUAGUAGUUGUAAUACUAUUUGAUAUUUAUCUUGUGCCAAGUUCCCAGAGCAGACCCUGAGGUGAGAAUUUGUGUUCAAACAACUCAUUAAGGGACUGCUCACUUCAUGAGAAGCCAGUAAGGGAGUGGUGGAAGCAGGACAGAAGGCAAGAAGCCAAGCAGGGAGCUUGUUUAUAAGCUACCUAAUGUGUGGUAUUUUGUUUUAGCAGGCAAGCAGUCUAAGACAGUGAACCUUGAAACCAUUGUGCUAAGUGAAAGAAGCCAGAUGUAAAAGGCCACAUAUUAUAUAUGCAAUUUAUGAAAUAUCCAGAAUAGGUGACUCUAUAGAAACAGAAAGAAACUUAGUGGUUGCCUUAGGCUGGCAGGAGAAUUGAAGGAUGAGGUUUCUAAAAUUGAUGGUGGUGAUGGUAGCAACAAUGCUGUGAAUAUACUAAAAACUCUUGAAUGAUACACGUUAAAUGAAUGAAUUGUUUGGUAUGUAAAUUAUAUCUCAAUAAAAUUGCAAAAAGAAAAAAGACCAUCGUCAAAAUAAGCCUGCUAGUAGUAAUAACAGUGCUGGUAAUUGCAAGUCUUCCCCCUUGUAAAUUUUCUGAAAUUCUAGAAACAAAGUGUACAUAUAGGGUCUUUCGGGCAGGUGUUUUGUGGUCUUUCAAGGCCACCUCGUAGGUGGAGCUCCUAAAACAGAGCUGGCUUGGGUUUGGGAAAUGCUCAUUGAAAGUAGUUACUAAACAGUCAGGUAUUUGGGGCGAUUUCAGCACAGCGCCUGCCUUAUCCAAUAUAAUUGCAUGUGCCUGCCACUUUAAGGGGCAAAGAGAAUUCCGGAAGCAGAGUAUUUGACUUUUUUUUUUUGGUCUUUUUUUUUCCCCUAGGGGGCAUGUAUAUAUGGAGGUUCCCAGGCCAAGGGUCUAAUUGGAGCUAUAGCUGCCGGCCUACACAGCAGACUGAGACGCAUCUGUAGUCUACACCACAGCUCACUGCAAUGCAUAACUCACCACAACGCCGGAUCCUUAACCCACUGAGCAAGGCCAGGGAUCGAACCUGCAACCUCAUGGUCCCUAGUUGGAUUCAUUAACCACUGAGCCACGACUGGAACUCCAAGGAAGCAGAGUAUUUGAAAGAGCUCUGUUCCUUUGUCACCUGUCGCCCACUUUGGUCUCUGGAGUGCAGGGACUGGAGGCAGGGAGACCCUGGCUGAGCCAGGCCUUCUUCAGUGGGGAGCAAACAAACGUGUGGCUUCCACGGUGGCCUCCAGAUUGAAGGCAACUUCUUGUGAAAUCAGCAGGGUGGGCAGCUGAAGAGCAUGAGAAUAUUGUGCAUUUGUAAAUAUUUGAGCACAUCUGCUUAGCCCCCUCCCCAAAAAACCACUGGGAAAACCCGCCUCGCAUGGUGCCAUGCAAGGCUGUUGCCCUGCUCUAAUUGUCAAAUCUGUCGAGUGUUUUUCUCAUGCACACCAAAAUUAAACAUCGCUCUCCUCAUUCAUGAUUAAUUCAGCUGCAGCGCUGCACUGUGUCACACUGCAUUUUUUAAAGUAAUUGUUAAAUUCUACCUCAUAAUCAGAGCAGUUUUAAUUAACUUUUUGUCAGUUAAUCUUUUUUUCCUCAUACAUUUUCCAUGUCUAGUGUGUAUACUGCCUGUCUCUGCCCAGGGGUUUGCAGCCCCUCGGUAUGAAUGCUUAAGCCCUAUUAGUGCCGAUGGGUGUGCCACGUGCAAGAGGAGAGAGGGGGCCUCCCAGGCUCCACUCUGCUCAGCUUUCCGGGGUCUUGCUGGUUAUGUCAUUUGCAUUAAAUAGCUCUUCCACAGUGAGUUCAUUUACAAGCUGCAAAGUUCAGGCUUUCUUUUCUCUUUCUCCUAGGAUGUGUUCUCUGUGUCUAGGCAAGAGAUGGCACAUAGAGUGAAAAAGAUAAACAUACAGGGUAAGAAGGAGGAGCCCCAUACUGGACUGUAGAGCAAACCUAGGGCAAAAGAUGGGUCCUGUUAAUUGUUCCUGAGUGAUUCUUGCCUGCAGAGCUAGCCCUUCCUUCCUUCCUUCCUUCUUCUCUCCCUCCCUUCUGAGGUGAAAGAUACUGCCUUUAGUGUCUUUGGCCUUUUCAUUCACCUUUCAUGUAUUUGAAUUUUGGGGGCAUAAUUCAUCCACCAAUUAUAUGUACCCCUCAAUUUACAGCUCUGCUCGCCCAUAUUUUUUAUCCUUCAAAUAUUUCCCAUGUGUACAGAAUGUAGAAGAUCCAAUUCCAUAUUAAACAGUACACAUCCAAGCUGUUUUCUUUCUCGCAGGGGGCCUGUGUUUAAAAGCAAUUGUGUGUUAGCUUUUCUAAAAGUUUAAAAAAUGUGCACAUCUGUGUAAUAGUGCCACUACAUCUACUACUUCGAGCAAUGCAGCCACUUUUUGGUAUUUAUAGGAUAUAUUUUUCAGGAUAUUGCAUCAGUUUCUCAGUGUUAAAAAGCAUAAGAUUGAGGAAGUACGAACUGAUAAUUCCCUAUUUUAGGAUCUGAUACUAAAAUGCUGAGAGAGUCAAUAAACACACCAGAUGUUCAAAUUGCUAGUUAGGUUAUUUAAACAGUGUGGUCAAAUCCUAGAAGAGGGAAUACACUCACUCUAUGAAUAUUUGUGCUGAGAUGUCGCCAUAUUGAAUUUGUUAAUUAAUCUGUUCAGUCCAGAGGGUUGAGUGUUAUUCAGAUAAAAAUUGUGCCAAAGAGUUUCCUACUAAGAAGUACAUUAGAAAGUUUCUUUAAGACAAAGUGUAUCUUGUUGAAAUGUUUUGACCUCAGAAAGAUUAAGAGCCUGUAAGAUUCAGAGUCUGUGCUCAAAUCUUAAGUAGAUAAUUUGCAAGAUAUGUGGACAAAUAACUUAACCCCUCUCAGUCAGUCACAUGUAAAAUGGGAAUAAUGAUAUUUUCUACAUUAUACUGUUUUCUGAUGAUUAAAAGGAAUGUUUUUAUUGUACUUAGCACAGUGUAAGUUCUUAAUAAAAUAUCAGUGAUGAUGAUGAUGAUAUGAUGAUGGCUUGUACUUUUCUCUGUGCCCGAGAUAAAAUCAUUUACAUCACUCUGCAUAUACAUUCUAUGAGAGGUACUUGGUGGGACCCACUAAGAAUUCAUUAUGCUUGGUCCUGCCUCUAUCUUACAGAAGGAUGCUCCUUCCUGUGAAUUAUUAGAGGACUAGUUCCAGGUCUUGUUUAACUUGUGUCUCCCAUAGCCCUAAUACAAUAUCCUUCUCAUGUUUAAUAGAUUAUUGCUGAGCUAUAGUCUUUCUUAUAUGUGUGUUUAAUAGAUAGGUGUUUAGUUGAAUCCUUGUUUUUUUUUUUUUUUUAGAGUCGAACCCAUGGCAUACAGAAGUUCUUAGGCUAGGGGUCAAAUUGGAGAUACAGCUGCCGGCCUACACCAUAGCCAUAGCAACACCAGAUCUAACCCAUGUUUGUGAUCUACACCACAGCUCACAGCAACACUGGAUCCUCAACCCACUGAGUGGGGCCAAAGAUUGAACCCGCAUCCCCAUGGAUACUAGUUGGGUUCAUUACCAUUGAACCACAAGGAGAACUCCAUUUUUUAAAUUCUCUUUACUCAUUUAACAACAUUCAGUAAACUAUACUGCUGAAAGCUACAUAAAGUAUGGUUCCUGUCCUCAAAACAUUCAAAGUUGAGUGAGGUGUAAUCUGCAUUGACCAGAUAAUUACAGAACUGUGUGGAAUGCAGUAGUUCUGCCUUUUAGAGCUGGGAAAGGCUUUACUGAGAAGGCAAAUAGCACCUAGACCUUGAAUAAGUAGGAGUUUUAUACAAAUUGAGUCUAAGCAAAGGUCAUUCAAGAUAACCAGAGUAGUGAAUGUACACAAAGAGUAGAAUCAUGAAACAGGCAAAGCAUAUUUAGAAAAUGGUAAGAAAUGCCCUGUGGUUGGGGUUUGGUACACAGAGGUUUGUGGCAAAUGUCACACUUCUGUCUUAUCAGCCCAUUCCUAUAAUUUACAUGCUAGAGUAUCUCCAAAAUUUUUUGGCUUGGUGGGGGUUGUUGCAUUGUCCACUGUGGUGGUUGCAAAAGACAGAGAGGAGGGGAAAAUCACAAACUAAGUGCCAAGGUUCUCGGUGAAUUCCUCAGAAGUGAGGACGGGGUUGUGACGAUGGGCAAAUUUAAAGAGGGAGGGCUAAUGUAGACAGCCUAUGCUAUC